UAGAUCAGUUUUUCAGAUAGAAUCAAGUUCAGUACGUUUUCCGUUUUCUGCGAAGAAUCUCAUAAGUGCGGAGAAUGAACUGGGAUACUGUGUAAUAUAAAACAAAAGUUGUAAAUAUUUAGCACUGAUCUGAUGAAAAGUGGCAUUUAAGAUUGGAUAUUCAAUUUCCAAUCAAAAAUAGGAACACAAAUGCAUUUACAGGAGUCCCACAAGAACGACAGAAAUGUC